rnacentral:tRNA from 1 species
AGGCGUGUGGUGCCCCCCGCCGGCUUCAGACCCGCUGUGU